rnacentral:rRNA from 1 species
GGGUUGUGAGGUUAAGCGACUAAGCGUACACGGUGGAUGCCCUGGCAGUCAGAGGCGAUGAAGGACGUGCUAAUCUGCGAUAAGCGUCGGUGAGGUGAUAUGAACCGUUAUAACCGGCGAUUUCCGAAUGGGGAAACCCAGUGUGUUUCGACACACUAUCAUUAACUGAAUCCAUAGGUUAAUGAGGCGAACCGGGGGAACUGAAACAUCUAAGUACCCCGAGGAAAAGAAAUCAACCGAGAUUCCCCCAGUAGCGGCGAGCGAACGGGGAGGAGCCCAGAGCCUGAAUCAGUGUGUGUGUUAGUGGAAGCGUCUGGAAAGGCGUGCGAUACAGGGUGACAGCCCCGUACACAAAAAUGCACAUAUUGUGAGCUCGAUGAGUAGGGCGGGACACGUGGUAUCCUGUCUGAAUAUGGGGGGACCAUCCUCCAAGGCUAAAUACUCCUGACUGACCGAUAGUGAACCAGUACCGUGAGGGAAAGGCGAAAAGAACCCCGGCGAGGGGAGUGAAAAAGAACCUGAAACCGUGUACGUACAAGCAGUGGGAGCCUCUUAAUGGGGUGACUGCGUACCUUUUGUAUAAUGGGUCAGCGACUUAUAUUCUGUAGCAAGGUUAACCGAAUAGGGGAGCCGAAGGGAAACCGAGUCUUAACUGGGCGUUAAGUUGCAGGGUAUAGACCCGAAACCCGGUGAUCUAGCCAUGGGCAGGUUGAAGGUUGGGUAACACUAACUGGAGGACCGAACCGACUAAUGUUGAAAAAUUAGCGGAUGACUUGUGGCUGGGGGUGAAAGGCCAAUCAAACCGGGAGAUAGCUGGUUCUCCCCGAAAGCUAUUUAGGUAGCGCCUCGUGAAUUCAUCUCCGGGGGUAGAGCACUGUUUCGGCAAGGGGGUCAUCCCGACUUACCAACCCGAUGCAAACUGCGAAUACCGGAGAAUGUUAUCACGGGAGACACACGGCGGGUGCUAACGUCCGUCGUGAAGAGGGAAACAACCCAGACCGCCAGCUAAGGUCCCAAAGUCAUGGUUAAGUGGGAAACGAUGUGGGAAGGCCCAGACAGCCAGGAUGUUGGCUUAGAAGCAGCCAUCAUUUAAAGAAAGCGUAAUAGCUCACUGGUCGAGUCGGCCUGCGCGGAAGAUGUAACGGGGCUAAACCAUGCACCGAAGCUGCGGCAGCGACACUAUGUGUUGUUGGGUAGGGGAGCGUUCUGUAAGCCUGUGAAGGUGGCCUGUGAGGGUUGCUGGAGGUAUCAGAAGUGCGAAUGCUGACAUAAGUAACGAUAAAGCGGGUGAAAAGCCCGCUCGCCGGAAGACCAAGGGUUCCUGUCCAACGUUAAUCGGGGCAGGGUGAGUCGACCCCUAAGGCGAGGCCGAAAGGCGUAGUCGAUGGGAAACAGGUUAAUAUUCCUGUACUUGGUGUUACUGCGAAGGGGGGACGGAGAAGGCUAUGUUGGCCGGGCGACGGUUGUCCCGGUUUAAGCGUGUAGGCUGGNNNNNNNNNNNNNNNNNNNNNNNNNNNNNNNNNNNNNNNNNNNNNNNNNNNNNNNNNNNNNNNNNNNNNNNNNNNNNNNNNNNNNNNNNNNNNNNNNNAUGGAGCUGAAAUCAGUCGAAGAUACCAGCUGGCUGCAACUGUUUAUUAAAAACACAGCACUGUGCAAACACGAAAGUGGACGUAUACGGUGUGACGCCUGCCCGGUGCCGGAAGGUUAAUUGAUGGGGUUAGCGGCAACGCGAAGCUCUUGAUCGAAGCCCCGGUAAACGGCGGCCGUAACUAUAACGGUCCUAAGGUAGCGAAAUUCCUUGUCGGGUAAGUUCCGACCUGCACGAAUGGCGUAAUGAUGGCCAGGCUGUCUCCACCCGAGACUCAGUGAAAUUGAACUCGCUGUGAAGAUGCAGUGUACCCGCGGCAAGACGGAAAGACCCCGUGAACCUUUACUAUAGCUUGACACUGAACAUUGAGCCUUGAUGUGUAGGAUAGGUGGGAGGCUUUGAAGUGUGGACGCCAGUCUGCAUGGAGCCGACCUUGAAAUACCACCCUUUAAUGUUUGAUGUUCUAACGUUGGCCCGUAAUCCGGGUUGCGGACAGUGUCUGGUGGGUAGUUUGACUGGGGCGGUCUCCUCCUAAAGAGUAACGGAGGAGCACGAAGGUUGGCUAAUCCUGGUCGGACAUCAGGAGGUUAGUGCAAUGGCAUAAGCCAGCUUGACUGCGAGCGUGACGGCGCGAGCAGGUGCGAAAGCAGGUCAUAGUGAUCCGGUGGUUCUGAAUGGAAGGGCCAUCGCUCAACGGAUAAAAGGUACUCCGGGGAUAACAGGCUGAUACCGCCCAAGAGUUCAUAUCGACGGCGGUGUUUGGCACCUCGAUGUCGGCUCAUCACAUCCUGGGGCUGAAGUAGGUCCCAAGGGUAUGGCUGUUCGCCAUUUAAAGUGGUACGCGAGCUGGGUUUAGAACGUCGUGAGACAGUUCGGUCCCUAUCUGCCGUGGGCGCUGGAGAACUGAGGGGGGCUGCUCCUAGUACGAGAGGACCGGAGUGGACGCAUCACUGGUGUUCGGGUUGUCAUGCCAAUGGCACUGCCCGGUAGCUAAAUGCGGAAGAGAUAAGUGCUGAAAGCAUCUAAGCACGAAACUUGCCCCGAGAUGAGUUCUCCCUGACUCCUUGAGAGUCCUGAAGGAACGUUGAAGACGACGACGUUGAUAGGCCGGGUGUGUAAGCGCAGCGAUGCGUUGAGCUAACCGGUACUAAUGAACCGUGAGGCUUAACCUUACAACGCCGAAG